rnacentral:rRNA from 1 species
UACGAAGGGGCUAGCGCUGCUCGGAAUCACUGGGCGUAAAGCGCACGUAGGCGGCUUCUAAGUCAGGGGUGAAAUCCUGGAGCUCAACUCCAGAACUGCCUUUGAUACUGGAGAGCUUGAGUCCGGAAGAGGUGAGUGGAACUCCGAGUGUAGAGGUGAAAUUCGUAGAUAUUCGGAAGAACACCAGUGGCGAAGGCGGCUCACUGGUCCGGUACUGACGCUGAGGUGCGAAAGCGUGGGGAGCAAACAGGG